GUUGCCCCUCAAUGGGCAACCGGGCAUCUCACCCCGUGCAACUCAACGGCGACACCAGACGCGCCAUGCGUCUUUUUU
rnacentral:sRNA from 1 species